GGUGGCAAACAGGGUGAGUAAUAUAUCGGAACGUGCCCAAUCGUGGGGGAUAACGUAGCGAAAGUUACGCUAAUACCGCAUACGAUCCAAGGAUGAAAGCGGGGGACCGUAAGGCCUCGCGCGGUUGGAGCGGCCGAUAUCAGAUUAGGUAGUUGGUAGGGUAAAGGCCUACCAAGCCAACGAUCUGUAGCUGGUCUGAGAGGACGACCAGCCACACUGGGACUGAGACACGGCCCAGACUCCUACGGGAGGCAGCAGUGGGGAAUUUUGGACAAUGGGCGAAAGCCUGAUCCAGCCAUUCCGCGUGCAGGACGAAGGCCUUCGGGUUGUAAACUGCUUUUGUACGGAACGAAAAGGUCUCUAUUAAUACCAGAGGCUCAUGACGGUACCGUAAGAAUAAGCACCGGCUAACUUCGUGUCUGUG
rnacentral:rRNA from 1 species